UUGAUUCUCAUUCUCAAAUGAGGUUCGAAAUAGUACGAGAUAAAUGUUGAGAUCUCCUCAACAGUAUAGGCCUCACAUAUCGAAACUGCAUUUUCAUUUUAAUCUAA